AUCCUUCGGUUCAUACAAGUGAUGAUUGGUUCAAUCACGGACUGUCCGUGAAAAGUGCUGCCUACUUGUUACGCUAUGCACUUCAGACCAUCUGAUC